rnacentral:rRNA from 1 species
AAUGAACGCUGGCGGCAUGCCUAACACAUGCAAGUCGAACGAGACCAUAGGGUUACCUGGCGCAUGCGUGUGGAACGUGUGGGAACCUGGACGUAGACUUGGAAUUCUUCCCCGUAAGGGGUGCUAAUACCGGUUAACGUCCUCGGACAAAAGAUACAUCGUCGUUGGUAGGGCCGGGGUUGGAUUAGCUAGUCGGUAGGGUAAAAGCCUAUCAAGGCGACGAUCCAUAGCUGGUCUGAGAGGAUGAGCAGCCACACUGGGACUGAGACACGGCCCAGACUCCUACGGGAGGCAGCAGUGGGGAAUAUUGGACAAUGGGCGAAAGCCUGAUCCAGCAAUGCCGCGUGAGUGAUGAAGGCCUUAGGGUUGUAAAGCUCUUUUACCCGGGAUGAUAAUGACAGUACCGGGAGAAUAAGCUCCGGCUAACUCCGUG